UGGUUCUUUCAUAAUCUCAAAGAGAUCCAACCCUACUUUAAACUGUCGUAUGCCCGAUGGUUAUUCUUUGAAUUUAUUAAAAAGAAAACAAAUAUUCCUUCUAUUGGAGAAAUAACCAUCAGAUCACCUCAUCCACCCGCUGCCAUGGACUUCACGGUACCACAGAAAGAGCCGUGACAGGACAGCAUGCAGUGCCCUGGACUUGAUGACAACCACAGCGCUUCACAGAUUUAAAGAUGAGCACAUUAAUUUGGUGCUUGCUCAUACACAACUACUGAAAUAGGAUGACUGAAGGAAGAGCAACAAAAGAACAGCUUGCUAAACUCCUGCAUCAAAUGGAUCACAGUUCUCCUCUGACAUGACUGAGAACCCUAACUUCAAAGUAUUUCCAGCAGUGAAACUGUAAGAGAACUACAUCAACUCGGCUGCAGCAGCCCCAGAGGAAGAACCACCAGCGUCUCCUGAGAUCCAUGCUAUGUUGGAACUUAGGAUGCUAUGAAACCAAGCAACCAGCAAUCAACCUGGUAAGCAGUUGUGGUGUGGUAGGACACAGCCACCCCAAGGGGAGAACUACCAGCAUCUCCUGAGAUCCACGCCAUGUUGGAACUUAGGACUCUGGGAAACCAAGUAACAGCUUGCCUCCCUGUUAAGCAAUAGUGAGCCCACCAGUCACGGGCUUAGAGUCAAAAUCCCACUUCCCCUGCCCCUCUUUAGCAAAUGGGAACCAGAGAUACGAGCAUCUCUUGAGAGGUUGACCAUAUGCAACAUAGCAAAUAAGGGGGAUUUCCUUCUACCAUCUCUUUGAAGGCAAAUAUUUUUACUACUGUUUUUCUUUAUUCUGAUUAAUGGUACUAUUCCAUUCAAUAUUCUGUUUUGACAAGCUCUAUAAUGUUCUGUACUUCAUUUUAUUUUGCUAUACGUGAUUGAAAGAACUACUAUUGUGAAAAUAACGAGAUAUACUGUGAUGCCUGUUAUCCUGAUGACCUGCUGUGAAGUUCUGUACCAAUUUCACUACACUGUCUCAAUUGGCUUUGUUCUGUCUUGUUCUGUUGUAUUUUACCACCUUCAAAAUAAUAAAAAAAGAACUAUAUCAACUUAUUA